GAUUCUGGCUCAGGAUGAACGCUAGCGACAGGCUUAACACAUGCAAGUCGAGGGGCAGCAUAAAAGUAGCAAUACUUGGUGGCGACCGGCGCACGGGUGAGUAACGCGUAUGCAACCUACCUAUCAGAGGGGAAUAACCCGGCGAAAGUCGGACUAAUACCGCAUAAAACAGGGGCACCGCAUGGUGAUAUUUGUUAAAGAAAUUCGCUGAUAGAUGGGCAUGCGUUCCAUUAGGUAGUUGGUGAGGUAACGGCUCACCAAGCCGACGAUGGAUAGGGGAACUGAGAGGUUGGUCCCCCACACUGGUACUGAGACACGGACCAGACUCCUACGGGAGGCAGCAGUGAGGAAUAUUGGUCAAUGGGCGGGAGCCUGAACCAGCCAAGUCGCGUGAAAGGAAGAAGGAUCUAUGGUUCGUAAACUUCUUUUGCAGGGGAAUAAAGUGCAGGACGUGUCCUGUUUUGUAUGUACCCUGAGAAUAAGGAUCGGCUAACUCCGUGCCAGCAGCGGC
rnacentral:rRNA from 1 species